CCCGAUCUUCUCAAGCCGAACUGAAGACGUCUUCGACUCGUACCUCAUCUUCGACCUCACCAACCUCCUCUUCGUCGUCCGACUCCAGGAGGCCGAGGUUGGGAUCAGAAAAAUGGUUCUUGACCUUCUCCUUGAAAUCCUCAACCCCUUACACAUAAGAAAGCGAGAUGAACUCUGACUUGAUCUGUGAAACUCAAUCGAAGACUUGAAAGCUUGGACCGAGGCGAUCUUGGCAGCCUCCAGCUCCCCCUCAUGCUUCUUCUUCUCGGUUGAUAGCCGAGCUUCAGUUUUCAUCCG
rnacentral:lncRNA from 1 species